rnacentral:rRNA from 1 species
ACCUUUUGUAUAAUGGGUCAGCGACUUAUAUUCUGUAGCAAGGUUAACCGUAUAGGGGAGCCGUAGGGAAACCGAGUCUUAACCGGGCGUUAAGUUGCAGGGUAUAGACCCGAAACCCGGUGAUCUAGCCAUGGGCAGGUUGAAGGUUGGGUAACACUAACUGGAGGACCGAACCGACUAAUGUUGAAAAAUUAGCGGAUGACCUGUGGCUGGGGGUGAAAGGCCAAUCAAACCGGGAGAUAGCUGGUUCUCCCCGAAAGCUAUUUAGGUAGCGCCUCGUGAAUUCAUCUCCGGGGGUAGAGCACUGUUUCGGCUAGGGGGCCAUCCCGGCUUACCAACCCGAUGCAAACUGCGAAUACCGGAGAAUGUUAUCACGGGAGACACACGGCGGGUGCUAACGUCCGUCGUGAAGAGGGAAACAACCCAGACCGCCAGCUAAGGUCCCAAAGUCAUGGUUAAGUGGGAAACGAUGUGGGAAGGCCCAGACAGCCAGGAUGUUGGCUUAGAAGCAGCCAUCAUUUAAAGAAAGCGUAAUAGCUCACUGGUCGAGUCGGCCUGCGCGGAAGAUGUAACGGGGCUAAACCAUGCACCGAAGCUGCGGCAGCGAACGUAUCACUUAAAGCGAUUCAGCGGGUUACGAUUGACGGAGCGAAGCGAC